rnacentral:rRNA from 1 species
UACAGAGGUCUCAAGCGUUGUUCGGAUUCAUUGGGCGUAAAGGGUGCGUAGGUGGCGCCAUAAGUCGGGUGUGAAAUCUCGGGGCUUAACUCCGAAACUGCAUUCGAUACUGUGGUGCUUGAGGACUGGAGAGGAGACUGGAAUUCAUGGUGUAGCAGUGAAAUGCGUAGAGAUCAUGAGGAAGACCAGUGGCGAAGGCGGGUCUCUGGACAGUUCCUGACGCUGAGGUGCGAAAGCGUGGGGAGCAAACAGG